rnacentral:rRNA from 1 species
UACGUAGGGUGCAAGCGUUGUCCGGAUUUAUUGGGCGUAAAGAGCUCGUAGGCGGUUUGUCGCGUCGGGUGUGAAAACCCAGGGCUCAACCCCGGGUCUGCAUUCGAUACGGGCAGGCUAGAGUGUGGUAGGGGAGAUCGGAAUUCCUGGUGUAGCGGUGAAAUGCGCAGAUAUCAGGAGGAACACCGGUGGCGAAGGCGGAUCUCUGGGCCAUUACUGACGCUGAGGAGCGAAAGCGUGGGGAGCGAACAGG